UACAGGGGGGGCAAGCGUUGUUCGGAAUUACUGGGCGUAAAGGGCCAGUAGGCGGCCAACUAAGUCACACGUGAAAUCCCCAGGCUUAACCUGGGAACUGCGUGUGAUACUGGAUGGCUUGAAUUCGGGAGAGGGAUGCAGAAUUCCAGGUGUAGCGGUGAAAUGCGUAGAUAUCUGGAGGAAUACCGGUGGCGAAGGCGGCAUCCUGGACCGGCAUUGACGCUGAGGAGCGAAAGCUAGGGGAGCAAACGGG
rnacentral:rRNA from 1 species